AAGGCAGCGGAAUGAGCGGCGGACGGGUGAGUAACACGUAAGGAACCUGCCUCAAGGAUUGGGAUAACUCCGAGAAAUCGGAGCUAAUACCGGAUAGUUCAUCGGACCGCAUGGUCCGUUGAUGAAAGGCGCUCCGGCGUCACCUUGAGAUGGCCUUGCGGUGCAUUAGCUAGUUGGUGGGGUAACGGCCCACCAAGGCGACGAUGCAUAGCCGACCUGAGAGGGUGAUCGGCCACACUGGGACUGAGACACGGCCCAGACUCCUACGGGAGGCAGCAGUAGGGAAUCUUCCACAAUGGACGAAAGUCUGAUGGAGCAACGCCGCGUGAGUGAUGAAGGUUUUCGGAUCGUAAAACUCUGUUGUAAGGGAAGAACACGUACGAGAGGAAAUGCUCGUACCUUGACGGUACCUUACGAGAAAGCCACGGCUAACUACGUGCCAGCAGCCGCGGUAAUACGUAGGUGGCAAGCGUUGUCCGGAAUUAUUGGGCGUAAAGCGCGCGCAGGCGGCCUUUUAAGUCUGAUGUGAA
rnacentral:rRNA from 1 species